rnacentral:RNase_P_RNA from 1 species
GGUUUUGAGUAAUUGCGGUUUGCUUAUGCAAAUUGAGGAAAGUCCACGCCGGCAUAAGCUGCAAUGCUUAUAGUGUUCGUGUUCAGCCCAAGAAGCUGGAGUACCUAUUUCUUAUAAUUAGGUAACGGCAGUGAAAGUGCUAAGGCGCAAGCUAAGUAUGAGUAACUUGAAAGUGCCACAGAAACGUAAACUUUUGGAAACAAAAGAGUGGAACGGGUAAACCCCUCGAGCAGGAAACCCAAACUUUGGUAGGGGAGCUUUGACAACGGGAAACAAACCAAAGUCAAAGACAUUGGAUCAUUACGAUUUAAUGUAGAUAGAUGAUUACUGAAAGUUAGUUGUGGUUAAGCUAACUGGAACAAAACGUGGCUUAUAGAA